rnacentral:tRNA from 2 species
UCCGAACUGGUGUAUCGGUUAACAUUUGUCGCUUUCACCGACAGGCGCAGGGUUCGACUCCCUGGUUCGGAA